GACAGAGGGUGCGAACGUUGCUCGGAAUCAUUGGGCGUAAAGCGCGUGUAGGCGGCAUCGCACGUCGGGUGUGAAAGCCCGGGGCUCAACCCCGGCAGUGCACCCGAAACGACGAUGCUAGAGUGCUGGAGAGGCGGGUGGAAUUCCUGGUGUAGAGGUGAAAUUCGUAGAUAUCAGGAGGAACACCGGUGGCGAAGGCGACCCGCUGGCCAGCGACUGACGCUGAGGUGCGAAAGCGUGGGGAGCAAACAGG
rnacentral:rRNA from 1 species